GACGAACGCUGGCGGCGUGCUUAACACAUGCAAGUCGAACGGAAGGGCCCUGCUUUUGUGGGGUGCUCGAGUGGCGAACGGGUGAGUAACACGUGAGUAACCUGCCCUUGACUUUGGGAUAACUUCAGGAAACUGGGGCUAAUACCGGAUAGGAGCUCCUGCUGCAUGGUGGGGGUUGGAAAGUUUCGGCGGUUGGGGAUGGACUCGCGGCUUAUCAGCUUGUUGGUGGGGUAGUGGCUUACCAAGGCUUUGACGGGUAGCCGGCCUGAGCGGGUGACCGGCCACAUUGGGACUGAGAUACGGCCCAGACUCCUACGGGAGGCAGCAGUGGGGAAUAUUGCACAAUGGGCGGAAGCCUGAUGCAGCAACGCCGCGUGCGGGAUGACGGCCUUCGGGUUGUAAACCGCUUUCGCCUGUGACGAAGCGUGAGUGACGGUAAUGGGUAAAGAAGCACCGGCUAACUACGUG
rnacentral:rRNA from 1 species